GAUGAAGAACGUAGCGAAAUGCGAUAAGUAGUGUGAAUUGCAGAAUUCAGUGAAUCAUCGAAUCUUUGAACGCACAUUGCGCCCGCCAGUAUUCUGGCGGGCAUGCCUGUCUGAGCGUCAUUUCAACCCUCACGCCCCUAGGGCGUGGUGUUGGGGAUCGGCCAAGGCCCGCAAGGGACGGCCGGCCCCUAAAUCUAGUGGCGGACCCAUCGUGGCCUCCCCUGCGAAGUAGUAAUAUAUUCCGCAUCGGAUAGCGAUGAGCCCCUGCCGUUAAACCCCCAACUCUUUCAAGGUUGACCUCAGAUCAGGUAGGAAUACCCGCUGAACUUAAGCAUAUCAAUAAGCGGAGGA
rnacentral:misc_RNA from 1 species